UGCUUGAUCCUUCGGAGAUUUUCUCCUUCUCUGUAAAAUGGGGCGAAGAGUUUCUUCUCGAGCUGCUUCAGUGGGCUGACCUCAGAAACAAGUGAGGACCCGCAAACAAAGAAUGGUUUUUAUGUUUUUAAAUGGUUGAGAAGAAGAUUGUAUGAUGUGAAAAUUGUACACGAUUCAAAUUUCAGUGUCCAUACAGAUGAACAUAAGCACUGUAUUGACUACAAAAGUGAGAAACAGAAGAGCUGUGUGAGACAGAAUGGAUGUCAGCAUACUGGUGGUUCAUCCUUGUGAUCGCAUAGAUGACUGGGAGCCGCCACCACUCAGCAUCAUGACACAUGAUAAGAAAGCGGGUUUGGAGACUCAUCACACUUGGUACAAAUGGUAAACAACCUGGGUCUGCCCAACGGAAAAGGCCAAGUCUCCCAUGCGUACCAGCCCAUUAUUUUCAUCUCCUUACGCUAUCAGAGGGCAGAGACUACAAGUUUCACUCUACAAAUCUUCAUAACACUUCUCAGCCAUAAUUGAAGUGAAUAUCCAAA